rnacentral:tRNA from 1 species
CAGGGAAUAGUUUAGAUAGAACAUCAGCUUUGGGUGCUGAUAGCGGGGCUGUUGC